rnacentral:rRNA from 1 species
GGUAACAAAGUGCGAAUAGGCGCGGGAAGACGUAGGGGGGAAGAGUUGUACGGAUGCAUUGGGCUGAAAGAGCGUGUAGGAGGCAGGGUAGGUCGGUAGUGAAAACUAGAGGCUGAACCGUCAGAGGUCGACCGAAACGAACUGGCUAGAGUCCGGGAGAGGAGAGUGGAAGUCCUGGUGUAGCGGUGAAAUGCGCAGAUAUCAGGAAGAACACCCGUGGCGAAGGCGGCUCUCUGGAACGGUACUGACGCUGAGACGCGAAAGCGUGGGGAGCGAACAGGAUUAGAUACCCGAGUAGUC